UCUGGUUGGACUCAAGGCCAACGUGAAACUAGGCAAGGGAGUGGAGUCUCCGCAAAUCAACAUUUACUUCAUGUUUCAAAACUUUAUUUACUCUCUCCCUCUCAAAAGAGAACUUCACCGGAACAAUGCCCCGCUGCUCCAUAAAUUGCUUCAGACGGAGGGGCUCCCCCAAUCAAAAAAAUUUAGUUAUCAAAAUACUUGUCUAAUCCUCAUCUCCUCCAAUCCAACCUUGAAUUCUCCUAAUUCUCAACCAAACACUUAAACCUAGCCAAAACGUUCAUGAACCCUAAUUCCUAAAUCAGAAAUUUAACGCAAGUAUGGAGGAAUAAAAGCCUCUCCUAUUAGGGCUUUGAUUCCUCAAGCCACAAGGUAUAUAAUGGUAACAAGAACAAGGCAAAAUGGAAGAAGAAUCAAAAGAUCCUACCUACAAGGAGUAGCUUUUCCUCGGUGAGUGUUGAAUUUGAAGCAAAAACGAAAGUGAAGAUGAAGAUGAUGCACGUAAGCUUCAACACUCUACUCCUUAACCUUUGAUUCCCUCUUCCUCUUUUUCUACCUCUUCUGUACUCUGUAGUCUGUAGGAAAUUCGAUUGUUGUGAUGUGUUAUUGCUUGUUCAAUUGCUACAUGAGUGCAGAGAGUUGUGAGUGAUUGUAGAAGUUCAGAGAGAUUGAGAGUUAUGCUCAACUGUGUAGAGCUUCAUAUGUUGAAGCUCUAAAAGCUAUGGCGUAGAGUGUGUAGUGAGGGUGAGAUAGUGGUUCAGAGUGAGAGAGAAUAUCAAGUGUUCUGAGGUGAUGAUCAUGCUAAUUCCCUUCGGUGAAAAUGAUUGAAGGUUAGAUUAUAUAUAGUUUUGGAUUGUUAAUUAUGUUUGGCUCUGUUAGGUUCUCUUAGUGAAAAUUGGUUGAAGGUUAUAACUUGGUUAACUUCUUUUAACUAUUAGUUGAGGGUUAUAAUGGAUUAAAUUCUAUUAAAAAACUAUUAGAAAUUAUUUCAGUUAGAUGUUAAUUAGUUUUGAUUAGGUUAGUUUGAAGAUUAGUUGAUUCAACUGAUUUAUGUUAUGAGUUAGUUAGUGGUUAAUUAUUCACAACUCUUAUUUGAUCUGUCAGUGUUAAAUUUUGCUUGAUUCGAAAAAAGGCUGUGAACUGAAUGUUAAGGAACAUUAAAAGGUUGAAAUGUUAGUGAAGAGAUUAGUUAGAAUGGAAUAUGUUAAGUUAGUUGCAUCCAGUUAUCAUGUCGGUGUGAGUUAUUUGAUGAUAUCGUGAUUAAAAAAUUAGUUAGGCCAAUUGCAAUUUGGGAAUGUAAAUUGAAAGUUAGUUUUUCUAUCAAAGGUUUUAUUAGUUGCGAAGCCAGUGUGAUGUUAGAAUGAAUGAAGAAGUAAACCAGUUAGUUUCUUGGAAUAGAUUGAAGUUUGUAAAAAUUCAGUUAGGUCAAUUUUGCUAAACUUUGUUAAAGUGCUAGGGUUAAUUGUUAUUGGAUUUGAACUUUUAGUGAGUAUGUGUUUUGAAUUGUCUUGCAUUCUGAAUGUUAACUGGUUUGGAAUGGCAUGAGUUAUUAUGGUGUUAGGAUUGUGAUGCUAUUUAAAUGAAAUUGAAGUGAGUUUGGUUAGCACUAAAACUAUGGAAAAUGCACAAUUAGUGAAUGAAUCGAGUUUAUGUCAAAUUUUAAUGUUGUUGUGAGUUCAAACUUACGUUAUGCUUGACUAGUUAAAAAUGUUCUGUUAGUGUGUACUGGGUUGUUAUUGUAUGCUAUGAUUUGUAAUGGAAUUUGUCUUGGUUUGUUUGCACUGCAGUGAUGCUGUCAAUCUUAAAUUUCACCAUGCUAUGGUAUGAUGUAAACAAGGUUGCUUGCUGUGAAAUGUGUUUGAAUGUUAAACAUUGAUGUUAGAAUAUGAAUGAUGUGGAAAUAAUUGAUAUUAAUGUUCUUUUUUACAGGUUCGUAACAACGUGGCUUUUGGCAAGGAAGUUAUAUGGUGCAUUGGGCAUGAAGAAUGAUGAAGAUCAUGGUGAAUAACAUUGUUUGAAGAGAUGUAGACCUUUAGGAUAAGUUUAGGAAGUCAAGGUAAAUUGUCAACUAUGUCAAAAACCUUAUAACCUUCUAUUUCUUGUGUAGUCUAUGAAUGUACUUUGUAAUGACUUGUAAUAUGUCAUUCUUAAGGCGAAGGAAGACAAUCUCAUAUUCACAAAAAAAACAUCCCUGUAAUAGAGAUUCUUACCCUCAUAAACUUGCUAUAAUCCUAUAAAAAAACAUCUUUAAAACAUAGAUCUUCACAUUUGUUAGCUUACCCUAAAUUCCAGAAACACUAAAAACAUUGACCACCCCUACCCGCAUAAGAAGAUUGCUUCGCUUCUAUAUUUUUUAGCAAGUAAAAUAUAUUUUUAUACGCUAUUCCUACGUCUAAUUUUAUUAUCAUUCAACCUUAUAGCAUUUCUUUA
rnacentral:lncRNA from 1 species